rnacentral:rRNA from 1 species
CACCGCGGUUAGACGAGAGGCCCCAGUUAAUAGUAUUACGGCGUAAGGGGUGGUUAAGGAGAACAAGAUAAUAAAGCCAAAUGGCCCCUUGGCCGUCAUACGCUUCUGGGUGUCCGAAGCCCAAUAUACGAAAGUAGCUUUAGUAAACCCACCUGACCCCACGAAAACUGAGAAA